rnacentral:rRNA from 1 species
GCUGGCGGCGUGCCUAACACAUGCAAGUCGAACGAGAAAGUGGAGCAUCCAUGAGUAAAGUGGCGACCGGGUGAGUAACACGUGACUAACCUACCUUCGAGUGGGGGAUAACAUCGGGAAACCGAUGCUAAUACCGCAUAAUAUCGCAAGAUCAAAGCAGCAAUGCGCUGGAAGAGGGGGUCGCGGCUGAUUAGCUAGUUGGCGGGGUAACGGCCCACCAAGGCGAAGAUCGGUAGCCGGCCUGAGAGGGCGCACGGCCACACUGGAACUGAAACACGGUCCAGACUCCUACGGGAGGCAGCAGUGGGGAAUUUUGCGCAAUGGGGGAAACCCUGACGCAGCAACGCCGCGUGGAGGAUGAAGCCCCUUGGGGCGUAAACUCCUUUCGACCAAGACGAUAAUGACGGUACUGGUGGAAGAAGCACCGGCUAACUCUGUGCCAGCAGCCGCGGUAAUACAGAGGGUGCGAGCGUUGUUCGGAAUUAUUGGGCGUAAAGGGCG